CAGUUGGUAGCUCAGUUGUGGAGUGCAUGUUUUGUGACUAUGAUGUCCUGGGUUCAAAUCCCAGCUGGUCGC